rnacentral:rRNA from 1 species
UACGUAGGGUGCGAGCGUUGUCCGGAAUUAUUGGGCGUAAAGCGCUCGUAGGCGGCUUGUCGCGUCGGAUGUGAAAGCCCGGGGCUUAACUCCGGGUCUGCAUUCGAUACGGGCAGGCUAGAGUUCGGUAGGGGAGAUCGGAAUUCCUGGUGUAGCGGUGAAAUGCGCAGAUAUCAGGAGGAACACCGGUGGCGAAGGCGGAGCUCUGGGCCUUACCUGACGCUGAGGAGCGAAAGCGUGGGGAGCGAACAGG